NGGGGCUUAGCUCAGAUGGGAGAGCGCCUGCUUUGCACGCAGGAGGUCAGCGGUUCGAUCCCGCUAGUCUCCACCA
rnacentral:tRNA from 1 species